GAUUAACGCUGGCGGCGUGCAUAACACAUGCAAGUCGAACGAUGAAACUUUAAUUAACGCUUCGGGGAGAAUUAAAGCGGAUUAUUGGCGAACGGGUGAGUAACGCGUGAGUAACCUUCCGUACACAAGGGGAUGGCCUUUGGAAACGAAGAAUAAUACCCUAUAAAACCAUAAAAGCACAUGCAAGUAUGGGCAAAGUGAUAGCGGUGUAAGAUGGACUUGCGUCUGAUUAGCUAGUUGGUGAGAUAAAAGCCCACCAAGGCAACGAUCAGUAGCCGGCUUGUACGGGUGUACGGCCACAUUGGGACUGCGACGCGGCCCAGACUCCUCCGGGAGGCAGCAGUGGGCACUUUUGCACAAUGGGUGAAACACUGAUGCCGCGUCGCCGCGGAAUUUAGAAGGCCUUUGGGUUGUAAACAUCUUUUGUAUAGGAAGAAAAUGACGGUACUAUACGAAUAAGGUCCGGCUAAUUACGUG
rnacentral:rRNA from 1 species